rnacentral:rRNA from 1 species
GACGAACGCUGGCGGCGUGCUUAACACAUGCAAGUCGAACGGAAAGGCCCUGCUUUUGUGGGGUGCUCGAGUGGCGAACGGGUGAGUAACACGUGAGUAACCUGCCCUUGACUUUGGGAUAACUUCAGGAAACUGGGGCUAAUACCGGAUAGGAGCUCCUGCUGCAUGGUGGGGGUUGGAAAGUUUCGGCGGGUGGGGAUGGACUCGCGGCUUAUCAGCUUGUUGGUGGGGUAGUGGCUUACCAAGGCUUUGACGGGUAGCCGGCCUGGGAGGGUGACCGGCCACAUUGGGACUGAGAUACGGCGCAGACUCCAACGGGAGGCAGCAGUGGGGAAUAUUGCACAAUGGGCGGAAGUCUGAGGCAGCAACGCCGCGUGCGGGAUGACGGCCUUCGGGUUGUAAACCGCUUUCGCCUGUGACGAAGCGUGAGUGACGGUAAUGGGUAAAGAAGCACCGGCUAACUACGUG